UGGCUCAGGGUGAACGCUGGCGGCGUGCUUGACACAUGCAAGUCGAACGGUAUGUGGCAACACAUAGAGUGGCGAACGGGUGAGUAACACGUGGGAACGUACCCUACGCAGGGGGAUAACUGACCGAAAGGACAGCUAAUACCGCAUAAGACCGAAAGGUGAAAGGUGCAAAUGCAUCGGCGAAGGAGCGGCCCGCGGACCAUCAGCUAGUUGGUGGGGUAAGAGCCUACCAAGGCGACGACGGUUAGCCGGCGUGAGAGCGUGGCCGGCCACAAGGACACUGAGAUACGGGUCCUACUCCUACGGGAGGCAGCAGUGCGGAAUUUUAGAUAAUGGAGGCAACUCUGAUCUAGCGACGCCGCGUGCAGGAAGAAGGUCUUCGGAUUGUAAACUGCUGUGGUAAGGGAAAAAUGUCAUGUAGAGUGGAAAGCUACAUGGAGGGAUGGUACCUUACUAGAAAGCCCCGGCUAACUACGUGCCAGCAGCCGCGGUAAUACGUAGGGGGCGAGCGUUACCCGGAAUCACUGGGCGUAAAGGGAGCGUANGUGGCCUGACAUGUCAGCUGUGAAAACCCGGAGCUCAACUCCGGACUUGCAGUUGAAACUGCCAGGCUUGAGGACGGUAGAGGAAGACGGAACUGCCAGUGUANGGGUAAAAUCCUUNAGAUAUUGGCAGGAACGCCGGUGACNAAAGUGGUUUUCUGGGCCGGUUCUGANNUGA
rnacentral:rRNA from 1 species